UGUCAUAUGUGAUAAUGGUCCCGAUCGG
rnacentral:piRNA from 1 species